GGAUUGCCUUAGUAACGGCGAGUGAAGCGGCAAAAGCUCAAAUUUGAAAUCUGGCGCAAGCCCGAGUUGUAAUUUGAAGAAGGUAAUUUUUGGGGAGAAGUCGACAAAAGUUCCUUGGAACAGGACGUCAUAGAGGGUGAGAAUCCCGUCUUGUAGACCUCUCUCUCCUUGUAAAAUGCCUUCGAAGAGUCGAGUUGUUUGGGAAUGCAGCUCUAAGUGGGUGGUAAAUUCCAUCUAAAGCUAAAUAUUGGCGAGAGACCGAUAGCGAACAAGUACAGUGAUGGAAAGAUGAAAAGAACUUUGAAAAGAGAGUGAAAAAGUACGUGAAAUUGUUGAAAGGGAAGGGUUUUAAGGGAGACGUGGGGGACAACGAACAGCCUUCUUUAGGGGAGGUGCACUCGUUGUUUUCCGGGCCAAUAUGGGUUUUUGGAGUGGGAUAAAAGGGCAGGAAUGUGGCCUUUGGUGUUAUAGCCUGCCCCAAUAGCACUACCGGGGACCAAGGGAAGCGAUUCUAGGAUAUUGGCGUAAUCCCUU
rnacentral:rRNA from 1 species